rnacentral:rRNA from 1 species
AACGAACGCUGGCGGCAUGCCUAACACAUGCAAGUCGAACGAGACCUUCGGGUCUAGUGGCGCACGGGUGCGUAACGCGUGGGAACCUGCCCUUAGGUUCGGAAUAACUCCCCGAAAGGGGUGCUAAUACCGGAUAAUGUCUUCGGACCAAAGAUUUAUCGCCUUUGGAUAGGCCCGCGUUGGAUUAGCUAGUUGGUAGGGUAAAAGCCUACCAAGGCGACGAUCCAUAGCUGGUCUGAGAGGAUGAUCAGCCACACUGGGACUGAGACACGGCCCAGACUCCUACGGGAGGCAGCAGUGGGGAAUAUUGGACAAUGGGCGAAAGCCUGAUCCGGCAAUGCCGCGUGAGUGAUGAAGGCCUUAGGGUUGUAAAGCUCUUUUACCCGGGAUGAUAAUGACAGUACCGGGAGAAUAAGCUCCGGCUAACCCCGUG